rnacentral:rRNA from 1 species
ACUGGCGGCGUGCCUAACACAUGCAAGUCGAACGAAGCACUGUGGAUAGAGACUUCGGUCAAUUGAAACUUUGACUUAGUGGCGGACGGGUGAGUAAUGCAUGAGCAACCUGCCUUGGAGUGGGGGACAACAGUUGGAAACGACUGCUAAUACCGCAUGAUGUUAUCGGAGGGCAUCCUCUGGUAACCAAAGAUUUAUCGCUCUGAGAUGGGCUCAUGUCUGAUUAGGUAGUUGGCGGGGCAACGGCCCACCAAGCCUACGAUCAGUAGCCGGACUGAGAGGUUGAACGGCCACAUUGGGACUGAGAUACGGCCCAGACUCCUACGGGAGGCAGCAGUGGGGAAUAUUGGGCAAUGGGCGAAAAAGCCUGACCCAGCAACGCCGCGUGAAGGAAGAAGGCCUUCGGGUUGUAAACUUCUUUUCUGAGGGACGAAGGAAGUGACGGUACCUCAGGAAUAAGCCACGGCUAACUACGUGCCAGCAGCCGC